UGGGGAAUAUUGGACAAUGGGCGCAAGCCUGAUCCAGCCAUGCCGCGUGAGUGAUGAAGGCCCUCGGGUUGUAAAGCACUUUCAGCGAGGAAGAACGCCUAGGGGUUAAUACCCCCUAGGAAAGACAUCACUCGCAGAAGAAGCACCGGCUAACUCCGUGCCAGCAGCCGCGGUAAUACGGAGGGUGCAAGCGUUAAUCGGAAUUACUGGGCGUAAAGCGCGCGUAGGUGGCUUGAUAAGCCGGUUGUGAAAGCCCCGGGCUCAACCUGGGAACGGCAUCCGGAACUGUCAAGCUAGAGUGCAGGAGAGGAAGGUAGAAUUCCCGGUGUAGCGGUGAAAUGCGUAGAGAUCGGGAGGAAUACCAGUGGCGAAGGCGGCCUUCUGGACUGACACUGACACUGAGGUGCGAAAGCGUGGGUAGCAAACA
rnacentral:rRNA from 1 species